GCCAGCCACUGAUUUAUUUAUUCAUUCAACAUAUAUUUAUUGAGUGCCUACUAUAUGUUCAGCACCCUUAGACCCUGGUUUAGUGAUGAUGGAUGAUGUUACAGCCCUUGUCUUUACAGCGUUCACCCUCUCCUUCAUCAUUACGUCACUUUCCUGCUGCUAGGUGAAGGGGCCCAGAAUAUGCCACUUUGGUUUAAGGAUUAUUUUGAGCUGAAGGCAAUUGGGAAAAUACAGCCACAGGAAAAGCUCUCUGUCCUUCUUCUUUCUGCCUAAAAGCAGGCCACGUUUCCCUUUGUAAAGGUAACAUAAAUUUCCACUUGUAAAGGAAUUGUGAAGUGGUGCCUCUCUCCAAUACCAGAAGAGGAGAAUAACUGUUAAUCACUGGAGAUGACUUAUCACUGGAGACAUUACCAAGGGAACAUGGAGACUAAGAAGUACUUUCUCCUUGAAUUGAUUUGUAAGUGGAACUUUCCAACAGCAAAACAGCUGGAUGUUUGUGCUUUUAAAAUCUGGACUCUGGACUUGAUCUUCAGAAGAACAGGAAGCAAGGUGUUUGCACUGAGUUUGACAUGCACAGUAGUGAUUAAUUGACUUGUCAGUGCUGGGCUUUCUUGCCUCUAAGGUCCUGCCUCUUGCUUCUUUUGCCCUGGUGUUAAUCCCAUGCAGCUGGUGCAGAAACAGAACCAAGAGCUUGGAAGUCACAAGGUGGCGCCACCCCAACUAGGACUGUUCUUUCAAAGCCCAGUGCCCAGUUGGUGAAAUGACCCACCAGCAUUGCACAGGAGAGCCCCAGAGAGAUAUGUCCAGGAUAUACGAUCAGUCUGGUGUUCUGAGCCUUAAGGUAUGGUUGCAGCGAUGACGCAUUGCAGAACCAAAGGAAUUUGUCCUUAGGAUAGACCUUCCAAAGGCCGAUCAACAGCGACAAAAAACAAGCUUUCAAACCAACAAGAGAAGACAUGAUUGCAGUGCCUUCAUAACGACAUUGCUUUAUUGAUGAAAUGCAAGGAAAACUACGUUAGAAUCUACUGAUUCUCUUUGAGAUCUAAUAAUACGCUUUAUUCAAAUCUUAUUCACAAACCACUUCCUCCACGGGUCUUUCACAGGAACUGAAAUUGGCCAGUUACAAACAGAAUUGGUUCUACUGUCCUUUGAAAUCACAGACGCAGACAUGUUUUAGAAUACAAAAGACACCAAGCUUUCUUUGGGAAACACGUCCUGUUUGGAAAAAAAAAAACUCACUUCUUAACAAAAAUUGAAAGCACGCCUAACUUCAGAUUUAUUUGAUUACAGAGUCUUUCUCAGGGCUAAUCAGUUUUAGAACAGGUUCCUACUGGCACCAGAGAGCCAAUAAAAAGUCCAGGAGAGAAGAGGUAACACAACAACUUAGGGAAACAAGGUUGUUUAUUUUUUUAAACAGUAUUCAUAUUUAUACCGCUGAGUGAAAUUAUUUAUACACACCCUGUAGGUUUUGCAUCUUCAGAAUUUGUUAGCAUUCAGAGGAUGAUAAACUGUACCUUGGACUUAUUUGUGAAAAAAUAUGUAGAUGACACCUGGUGGAGUUUAUUGAAACUAUUAUUCAGGUGUAGAGCCAGAGAAACUCAGCAGAAAGGGAAGCCGGGUUUUUAGAUGUCACAAUGGAUGGUUAAAAAUUUCAGCUUUGGGGCAACAUUAUAAUACUCAAAUUAUUUGCCUCUGGUCCUCAUUUUCUCCAUCUCUAGCAUCGGUUCUGAACUCAGGGUUUUCUGUAAAUAUUAAAUGGCAUAAUGCAUGCUGAGAGAUCUGUGUGGGCCCUCCCAGGGUUAAGAAUCCAAUAAAUGUUAGCUCAUGUAUCAUCAUUAUUACAGAGAA
rnacentral:lncRNA from 1 species